rnacentral:tRNA from 1 species
GGAGAGAUGGCCGAGCUGGUCGAAGGCGCUCGACUCGAAAUCGAGUAGACUGUGAUGAGCGGUCUCCAGGGUUCGAAUCCCUGUCUCUCCGCCA